rnacentral:rRNA from 1 species
GAUGAACGCUGGCGGUAUGCUUAACACAUGCAAGUCGAACGCAGACUUUCGGGUCUGAGUGGCGGACGGGUGAGUAACGCGUGAGAAUCUGGCUUCAGGUUGGGUACAACCACGGGAAACGGUUGCUAAUACCCAAUGUGCCGUUAAGGUGAAAGAUUAAUUGCCUGAAGAUGAGCUCGCGUCUUAUUAGCUAUUUGGUUGGGUAAGAGCUCACCAAGGCGACGAUGAGUAGGUGGUCUGAGAGGACGAUCAGCCACACUGGGACUGAGACACGGCCCAGAGUAAUAGGGGAGGAAGGAGUGGGGAAUUAUAAGAAAAGGGCGAAAGACUGACGGAGAAAUACCGAGUGAGGGAGGAAGGCUGUUGGGUUGAAAACAUAUUUUAUCAGGGAAGAAGGCAAUGACGGUAACUGAGGAAAAAGCAACGGCUAACUCCGUG